GCGGCUAAUCCCGGAUGUGCAUAAAGGUACAAGAUUUUUGCGUGAAUAUGACCUCCCGUUGAUUUCUUGUAGUUGUGGGAGAGCGCCCUAUUGAUGAUUAGUUGGUGGUCUGAGAGGAUGAUCACCACACUGGUACUGAGACACCGCCCAUACUCCUACGGGAAGCAUCAGUGGGGAAUUUUCAGCAAUGGGCGAAAGCCUGACGGAUACUACCGCCUGAGGGAGGAAGGGUCUUGGGUUGUAAACCUCUUUUCUCAAGGAACAACAAAAUGACCGUACCUGAUGAUUAAGCAUCGUCUAACUCCGUGCCACCAGCCGCGGUAAUACUGAGGAUGCUUUCGUUAUCCGGAAUGAUUGGACGUAAAGCGUCCGCAGGUGGCUAUGUAAUUCUGCUGUUAAAUAGUGAGGCUUAACCUCAUAAGAGCAGUGCAAACUACAUAACUAGAGUGCGUUCAAACAUAAGGAAUUCCUGGCGUAGCGGUGAAAUGCUUAUAGAUCAAGAUUUACACCGGUGGGGAAAGCCUUCUGCUAGGCCGCAACUGACACUGAGGGAUAAAAGCUAGGGGGAGCUAUUGG
rnacentral:rRNA from 1 species